GGACCGAACCGACUAAUGUUGAAAAAUUAGCGGAUGACUUGUGGCUGGGGGUGAAAGGCCAAUCAAACCGGGAGAUAGCUGGUUCUCCCCGAAAGCUAUUUAGGUAGCGCCUCGUGAAUUCAUCUCCGGGGGUAGAGCACUGUUUCGGCAAGGGGGUCAUCCCGACUUACCAACCCGAUGCAAACUGCGAAUACCGGAGAAUGUUAUCACGGGAGACACACGGCGGGUGCUAACGUCCGUCGUGAAGAGGGAAACAACCCAGACCGCCAGCUAAGGUCCCAAAGUCAUGGUUAAGUGGGAAACGAUGUGGGAAGGCCCAGACAGCCAGGAUGUUGGCUUAGAAGCAGCCAUCAUUUAAAGAAAGCGUAAUAGCUCACUGGUCGAGUCGGCCUGCGCGGAAGAUGUAACGGGGCUAAACCAUGCACCGAAGCUGCGGCAGCGACGCUUAUGCGUUGUUGGGUAGGGGAGCGUUCUGUAAGCCUGUGAAGGUGUGCUGUGAGGCAUGCUGGAGGUAUCAGAAGUGCGAAUGCUGACAUAAGUAACGAUAAAGCGGGUGAAAAGCCCGCUCGCCGGAAGACCAAGGGUUCCUGUCCAACGUUAAUCGGGGCAGGGUGAGUCGACCCCUAAGGCGAGGCCGAAAGGCGUAGUCGAUGGGAAACAGGUUAAUAUUCCUGUACUUGGUGUUACUGCGAAGGGGGGACGGAGAAGGCUAUGUUGGCCGGGCGACGGUUGUCCCGGUUUAAGCGUGUAGGCUGGUUUUCCAGGCAAAUCCGGAAAAUCAAGGCUGAGGCGUGAUGACGAGGCACUACGGUGCUGAAGCAACAAAUGCCCUGCUUCCAGGAAAAGCCUCUAAGCAUCAGGUAACAUCAAAUCGUACCCCAAACCGACACAGGUGGUCAGGUAGAGAAUACCAAGGCGCUUGAGAGAACUCGGGUGAAGGAACUAGGCAAAAUGGUGCCGUAACUUCGGGAGAAGGCACGCUGAUAUGUAGGUGAAGUCCCUCGCGGAUGGAGCUGAAAUCAGUCGAAGAUACCAGCUGGCUGCAACUGUUUAUUAAAAACACAGCACUGUGCAAACACGAAAGUGGACGUAUACGGUGUGACGCCUGCCCGGUGCCGGAAGGUUAAUUGAUGGGGUCAGCGCAAGCGAAGCUCUUGAUCGAAGCCCCGGUAAACGGCGGCCGUAACUAUAACGGUCCUAAGGUAGCGAAAUUCCUUGUCGGGUAAGUUCCGACCUGCACGAAUGGCGUAAUGAUGGCCAGGCUGUCUCCACCCGAGACUCAGUGAAAUUGAACUCGCUGUGAAGAUGCAGUGUACCCGCGGCAAGACGGAAAGACCCCGUGAACCUUUACUAUAGCUUGACACUGAACAUUGAGCCUUGAUGUGUAGGAUAGGUGGGAGGCUUAGAAGUGUGGACGCCAGUCUGCAUGGAGCCGACCUUGAAAUACCACCCUUUAAUGUUUGAUGUUCUAACGUUGACCCGUAAUCCGGGUUGCGGACAGUGUCUGGUGGGUAGUUUGACUGGGGCGGUCUCCUCCUAAAGAGUAACGGAGGAGCACGAAGGUUGGCUAAUCCUGGUCGGACAUCAGGAGGUUAGUGCAAUGGCAUAAGCCAGCUUGACUGCGAGCGUGACGGCGCGAGCAGGUGCGAAAGCAGGUCAUAGUGAUCCGGUGGUUCUGAAUGGAAGGGCCAUCGCUCAACGGAUAAAAGGUACUCCGGGGAUAACAGGCUGAUACCGCCCAAGAGUUCAUAUCGACGGCGGUGUUUGGCACCUCGAUGUCGGCUCAUCACAUCCUGGGGCUGAAGUAGGUCCCAAGGGUAUGGCUGUUCGCCAUUUAAAGUGGUACGCGAGCUGGGUUUAGAACGUCGUGAGACAGUUCGGUCCCUAUCUGCCGUGGGCGCUGGAGAACUGAGGGGGGCUGCUCCUAGUACGAGAGGACCGGAGUGGACGCAUCACUGGUGUUCGGGUUGUCAUGCCAAUGGCACUGCCCGGUAGCUAAAUGCGGAAGAGAUAAGUGCUGAAAGCAUCUAAGCACGAAACUUGCC
rnacentral:rRNA from 1 species